AAAAGGUGAAUUGAAGACGUUCAAAAAUAAAAUACAAAUAUGAAUCUGUGACUCUGUAUAUGGUGAACUCAAAAAAAAAAAUACGAAGAAGUAUAGCCUGUACGACAUAGUAGAUUUGUGCCAGUGAUUAGUUUUAUUUAAGGACACCAACUAAAAUUGUUUGUUGAAUGGGAGCUUCAGAAAAAGAGACUCUGGGGUGGACCAAGGAAAAAGUAGAUUGGGGUUCUCGGAUAGGAUUUAAUAGGAAUCUGUAACAAGCAAACACCGGAGAAACGGAUGGGAAAAGACUAGGACGGAUGACGUGGUGUUGUUUUGGCGGUGAAAAUUCUCAGAAAGUUAUGAAAAUAAUGAAGAGUAAUACUGUAGUAAAAACUAUGCAUUAGGUAUAGCGGAACAGUAUCAAGUACACGUUCACAAUAUCGUAAAUUAAUUAACCGAUCAAUAAACAUUGAAGAAAAUCAACAUUGGAAAUAACUAUAUACCGUAUAUUAAUCGUGUUUCGAGUGGAACGCGGUGAAUAUUAAAUAUUUUAGAGUGAAAUAACAAAUCGACAUCAUGCGAUAGCCGUAUGACGAGUGUUUUCGCAUACCGCGCCAAUAAGAGACAGUUAAGCUUUUGAAAACGAUAUAGACGUCAGAUCGUGAAUAUAGCAUAAUAAUAUAUACCAAAAUACACUUAUCGCUUCAAUACCAAAUAUUUAUUCGAAUCGAAACAAAAACAACAAUCGGUGUAUGUACAGUUGAUGACCGUUAGAUGGCUGGUUUAAUUUUUUACUUUAAAAAAUACCCAAUAAUAUUAUAAUCGCACUAAUUCUUGGAAACAUGGUAUUCAUACCUACACAAAUAAUCGACAGCGCACGUGAUAUUCGUGCGGUUCAUCAACUGGCGCAAUAAUAAAACACUCGACAUUUCACGUCGUCGUCGA